AGCCACGCGAUGGGCACAUAGCGAACUAUUCUUUCGCUUUUUACUAAAGAAUACCGUCUGCGCGUCGCAAAUAGUGACAUACCUCUAUUUUUGGAGGGGGUAAAAGCCCCCU
rnacentral:snRNA from 1 species